UGGAAGAGUUUUAUUUCCAAGGGUAGAAAUUUGUAAGAAGAUGGAUUUUGAAAACAAAACAAGACAAACCUUGAGG
rnacentral:lncRNA from 1 species